CUUGUCUCAAAGAUUAAGCCAUGCAUGUCUAAGUAUAAGCAACUAUACGGUGAAACUGCGAAUGGCUCAUUAAAUCAGUUAUCGUUUAUUUGAUAGUACCUUACUACUUGGAUAACCGUGGUAAUUCUAGAGCUAAUACAUGCUAAAAGGCCCGACUUCGGAAGGGUCGUAUUUAUUAGAUAAAAAACCAAUGCCCUUCGGGGCUCCUUGGUGAUUCAUAAUAACUUAACGAAUCGCAUGGCCUUGUGCCGGCGAUGGUUCAUUCAAAUUUCUGCCCUAUCAACUUUCGAUGGUAGGAUAGUGGCCUACCAUGGUUUCAACGGGUAACGGGGAAUUAGGGUUCUAUUCCGGAGAGGGAGCCUGAGAAACGGCUACCACAUCCAAGGAAGGCAGCAGGCGCGCAAAUUACCCAAUCCCGACACGGGGAGGUAGUGACAAUAAAUACUGAUACAGGGCUCUUUUGGGUCUUGUAAUUGGAAUGAGUACAAUUUAAAUCCCUUAACGAGGAACAAUUGGAGGGCAAGUCUG
rnacentral:rRNA from 1 species